GGGGAAUUUUGGGCAAUGGGCGAAAGCCUGACCCAGCAACGCCGCGUGAAGGAUGAAAUCCCCCGGGAUGUAAACUUCGCAAGAACGGGAAGAAUAAGUAGGGGACAAUACCCCCUAUGAUGACGGUACCGUUUGUAAGCUCCGGCUAACUCCGUGCCAGCAGCCGCGGUAAUCCGGGGGGAGCAAGCGUUGUUCGGAUUUACUGGGCGUAAAGGGCGCGUAGGCGGCCUCCGCAAGUCAAUUGUGAAAUCUCCGGGCUUAACGCGGAAAGGUCAACUGAUACUGCGGGGCUAGAGUGCGGAAGGGGCAACUGGAAUUCUUGGUGUAGCGGUGAAAUGCGUAGAUAUCAAGAGGAACACCUGCGGCGAAGGCGGGUUGCUGGGCCGACACUGACGCUGAGGCGCGAAAGCUAGGGGAGCGAA
rnacentral:rRNA from 1 species